rnacentral:rRNA from 1 species
AACGAACGCUGGCGGCAUGCCUAACACAUGCAAGUCGAACGAGACCUUCGGGUCUAGUGGCGCACGGGUGCGUAACGCGUGGGAAUCUGCCCCUUGGUUCGGAAUAACUUCGGGAAACUGAAGCUAAUACCGGAUAAUGACGUAAGUCCAAAGAUUUAUCGCCAAGGGAUGAGCCCGCGUAGGAUUAGCUAGUUGGUGGGGUAAAGGCUCACCAAGGCGACGAUCCUUAGCUGGUCUGAGAGGAUGAUCAGCCACACUGGGACUGAGACACGGCCCAGACUCCUACGGGAGGCAGCAGUGGGGAAUAUUGGACAAUGGGCGAAAGCCUGAUCCAGCAAUGCCGCGUGAGUGAUGAAGGCCUUAGGGUUGUAAAGCUCUUUUUACCCGGGAAGAUAAUGACUGUACCGGGAGAAUAAGCCCCGGCUAACUCCGUGCCAGCAGCCGCGGUAAU